rnacentral:rRNA from 1 species
UAGCCCUGAAAAUGGAUGGCGCUCAAGCGUCGCACCCAUACUCUGCCGUCGGGGCAAGAGCGAGGCCCCGACGAGUAGGAGGGCGCGGUGGUGGUGAUGCAGCCUUUGGCGCGAGCCUGGGUCAAACCGCCACUGGUGCAGAUCUUGGUGGUAGUAGCAAAUAUUCAAAUGAGAGCUUUGAAGACUGAAGUGGAGAAAGGUUCCAUGUGAACAGCAGUUGGACAUGGGUUAGUCGGUCCUAAGAGAUAGGGUAACUCCGUUUGAAAAGCGUGCAGUCCUUCGGGUGUGCACCGUCCUGUCGAAAGGGAAUCGGGUCAAUAUUCCCGAACCGGAACACGGAUGUGGUGCUCUCGGGCACCAAAGCGGCAACGCAAACGAACUCGGAGACGCCGGCGGGAGCCCCGGGAAGAGUUCUCUUUUCUUCUUAACAUGCUGUCACCCUGAAAUCGGUUUGCCCGGAGAUAGGGUCACAUGCCUGGUAAAGCGCCACACCUCUUGUGGCGUCYGGUGCGCUCUCGACGGCCCGUGAAAAUCCGAGGGAGCAGAUGAUUAUCGUGUCCGGCCGUACUCAUAACCGCAGCAGGUCUCCAAGGUGAACAGCCUCUAGUCAAUGGAACAAUGUAGGUAAGGGAAGUCGGCAAAAUAGAUCCGU